GUGCUGUUGCUGCCCUAGGUACGCCAAGGAACAGAGGAGGGCAGGUAUCUUCUGGCCAGCCUCCGGAGUCAAAUCAAGAUUUGAGGUACCCUGAGGAGGCUCUUACCCAAAGCUUAGAAACGGCAACACCGAAGCACACGCGGAGAACAUCUCAACGUCCACGUGCGACCGAGGAUGGAUUUUGUCCGCUCCUCUUCCAAAAGCUAAGUGUCGGGGCCAGUGGUUUGGAGAAGGGGAAAAACCUUUACUAUCACAGGGGGCAAUUUCAUGUCAGCUUAGCGGAGAGGUCUGUAUCGGGACAGGCUCUCUGGAAGUAAAGGGAGAGGGUUUCUCCUCAGCCUCACCAGAGCCUUUGCCGGGCAGGGCAGUUCCAACCCAUCUCCACGUUCUCGGGAACUUUGCGUUGUCCGCCUUCCUCGGCCCGACGUCGUCACGGAUCUUUUCCCCGAGGAGCU